rnacentral:rRNA from 1 species
GUGGAUUAGAUACCCUGGUAGUCCACGCUGUAAACGAUGUCGAUUUGGAGGUUGUGCCCUUGAGGCGUGGCUUCCGGAGCUAACGCGUUAAAUCGACCGCCUGGGGAGUACGGCCGCAAGGUUAAAACUCAAAUGAAUUGACGGGGGCCCGCACAAGCGGUGGAGCAUGUGGUUUAAUUCGAUGCAACGCGAAGAACCUUACCUGGUCUUGACAUCCACAGAACUUAGCAGAGAUGCUUUGGUGCCUUCGGGAACUGUGAGACAGGUGCUGCACGGUCGUCGACAGCU